GAUCACUCUUUAAUAGGAUGGACUUUGAGGACCUGGGAUUGGUAGAUUGGGAACACCACCUUCCCCCACCAGCUGCCAAGGCUGUGGUGGAGAGCCUCCCCAGAACAGUCAUCCGUAGCUCCAAGGCUGAGCUCAAGUGUCCCGUGUGUCUUUUGGAAUUUGAGGAGGAGGAGACUGUCAUUGAGAUGCCCUGCCAUCAUCUCUUCCAUUCCAACUGCAUUCUGCCCUGGUUAAGUAAGACAAAUUCCUGCCCUCUGUGCCGCCAUGAGCUGCCCACCGAUGACGACAGUUAUGAAGAGCACAAGAAAGACAAGGCUCGGAGGCAGCAGCAGCAGCACCGCCUGGAGAACCUCCAUGGAGCCAUGUACACGUGAGGCAGCAGCUAGGGCUGAGAGCUCAGCCUCUGUGAUAUCUUCCCUUUGCACUUUGAAUCUUCAUUAAAGGUUUCUUUAACCACCCUGCAGCUGCACUGCUCACCAGCUGAAGGGGCUUCGUCCGAAUCCUCCAACCUGCUGCUAGCCAGAAAGAUGUCAAAGGUGUCAAAAGGCAGAAGGUGCCGGGCUGCAUUUCCCUCUCUGCCAGUCUCUAGACUCUGGGUGGUGGAGCCCUGGGAGCAACAAGGGCUUGGGUCUGAGUGUUCUUUUAGAAGUCAAACUGUGUCAGAUCCUGGCACUUUGUAGCUAUUUAAAACUGAUAAAUUAACUUGCACCACCCCCUUCCGGAAAUCUCUAGUUAACCUUGGAACUUUAGUUAACAUUGGAAUCCUGGGAGUGUUCUUCAUUUCCACAGAGAAAACUUGUAACAUUGUCAAAGUUGCUCUCUGUAUCCUGCCCCUGUAGGCCCCUUAUCAAGGAAUCAAAGUUCAAACCAGACUGAGUAGGGGAAAGAAGUUCUUUAGCUGUUUAGACUCUGAAAGGGGGACAAGGCCUUGUGGAGGUUUUGAAAGUGGGUUUCACUAUGUGACCUUGGCUGGCUUGGAGCCCACUGUAUAGACCAGGCUGGCCUUGAACUUAGAUUCUUCUGCCUCUACCUUCCCAGUACUGGGAUUGCUGGUAUGUACCAGCACUGUGCUCAGACCCUUAUGAUGUAUUUGAAUGGCAUCUGUCACUUUGAGUUCCUGGCAACUCUCAAGAAUCUUUUCUGGAGGAAAGGACUUCUUUCCACCCCUCCCUACUGGAUGGGACCCUCCCUGAUUCUCCAGAACAGACUGCAAACAUGCAAAUUAGAAUUCUUUUAAUAGAUAUAAAAAAGUACUAAAAUACUUGUGUGGUUCUGCUGUGUUAUUUGCCCUAAAGGAAGUGAGGGGCAGAGUGAAGAACCCAAGUGCAGCUGGGUGGGCCUUUCCUUAGGCUAAGGCAUGCUCCUCCCAUCAUCCAGACUUGUGAGCCCCUGCUGCCCGAGCCCCCAAUUCCCUGCAGCAGGAAGCCCCAGUGGUCUGGCUCUGGCACUGGGAGUAGAAGGCACCUGUAGGGCUGGC
rnacentral:lncRNA from 1 species